GAUGAACGCUAGCGAUAGGCUUAACACAUGCAAGUCGAGGGGCAGCAUGGUCUUAGCUUGCUAAGACUGAUGGCGACCGGCGCACGGGUGCGUAACGCGUAUGCAACUUGCCUCACAGAGGGGGAUAACCCGUCGAAAGACGGACUAAUACCGCGUACACUCCAUCUUGGGCAUCCAAGGUAGAGGAAAUGAAAUUCGCUGUGAGAUAGGCAUGCGUCCCAUUAGCUAGUUGGUGAGGUAACGGCUCACCAAGGCGACGAUGGGUAGGGGAACUGAGAGGUUGAACCCCCACACUGGUACUGAGACACGGACCAGACUCCUACGGGAGGCAGCAGCGAGGAAUAUUGGUCAAUGGGCGAGAGCCUGAACCAGCCAAGUCGCGUGAAGGAUGACUGUCUUAUGGAUUGUAAACUUCUUUUAUACGGGAAUAACAAGAGUCACGUGUGACUCCCUGCAUGUACCGGAUGAAUAAGCAUCGGCUAACUCCGUG
rnacentral:rRNA from 1 species